UGAGGAAUAUUGCGCAAUGGGCGAAAGCCUGACGCAGCGACGCCGCGUGGACGAUGAAGGCCUUCGGGUUGUAAAGUCCUGUCAGGAGGGACGAAGCGGACUUGUCCGUGACGGUACCUCGGUAGGAAGCUCCGGCUAACUACGUGCCAGCAGCCGCGGUAAGACGUAGGGGGCAAGCGUUGUCCGGAAUCACUGGGCGUAAAGAGCUCGUAGGCGGUCUGUUUAGUCGGGUGUGAAAGCCCUCGGCUCAACCGAGGAAUUGCACUCGAUACUGGCAGGCUAGAGUCAAGCAGAGGGAAGUGGAAUUCCCGGUGUAGCGGUGAAAUGCGCAGAUAUCGGGAAGAACACCGGUGGCGAAGGCGGCUUCCUGGGCUUGUACUGACGCUGAGGAGCGAAAGCUAGGGGAGCGAACAGG
rnacentral:rRNA from 1 species